AGCACAGUAUGGCACGAUAAGUAAACGUCUGGUGAGACAAAUUCCAACAAACUGAUUCUGUUAAGGACGGCUCUCCACACUGCCCUGAAGGCUGGUUCCGCAGCUCACUAAAGAAAGCAGCUUGAGUCCAUCCAUGGAAAGGUGAACAGUAUCGCUCACUGACUGCAAUGCUGAAUCAAGUUGUGCUGAGAGGAGCUUGUUCGUGUCUGCCCCCCGACCACCACCACC
rnacentral:lncRNA from 1 species